rnacentral:rRNA from 1 species
UACGAAGGGGGCUAGCGUUGCUCGGAUUUACUGGGCGUAAAGAGCUCGUAGGUGGUUUGUCGCGUUGUUCGUGAAAACUCACAACUCAAUUGUGGGCGUGCGGGCGAUACGGGCAGACUGGAGUACUGCAGGGGAGACUGGAAUUCCUGGUGUAGCGGUGGAAUGCGCAGAUAUCAGGAGGAACACCGGUGGCGAAGGCGGGUCUCUGGGCAGUAACUGACGCUGAGGAGCGAAAGCGUGGGGAGCGAACAGG